UGAGUACGAGAUGCUACGGCAUCGAAGCAGUCUAUGUCAUACUUCCAAGAAAAGCUUGCACUGUCAUAAACAAAGAAUGCCUGUACCAUAACCGACACAGGUGGGUAGGUAGAGUAUACUAAGGGGCGCGAGAUAACUCUCUCUAAGGAACUCGGCAAAAUGACUCCGUAACUUCGGGAGAAGGAGUGCCUUAUUUCUAAGGUUGCAAUAACAAGAUCCAAGCAACUGUUUACCAAAAACACAGGUCUCCGCUAAGUCGUAAGACGAUGUAUGGGGGCUGACGCCUGCCCAGUGCCAGAAGGUUAAAGAAGUUGGUUAGCAUUAGCGAAGCUGAUAACUGAAGCCCUGGUGAACGGCGGCCGUAACAAUAACGGUCCUAAGGUAGCGAAAUUCCUUGUCGGGUAAGUUCCGACCCGCACGAAAGGCGUAAUGAUUUGGAUACUGUCUCGGAGAGGGGCUCGGUGAAAUAGACUUGUCUGUGAAGAUGCGGACUACCUGCACCUGGACAGAAAGACCCUAUGAAGCUUUACUGUAACUUGAGAUUGAAAUUGGACUUUAUUUGCGCAGUAUAGGUGGGAGGCGUUGAGAAUAAUCUUGCGGGAUUGUUGGAGCCAUCAGUGAGAUACCACUCUUGUAAUGUUAGAUUUCUAACUUUGUAUCAUUAUCUGGUCAAAGAACAGUUUCAGGCGGGCAGUUUGACUGGGGCGGUCGCCUCCCAAAGGGUAACGGAGGCGCACAAAGGUUUCCUCUGAACGGGUAGAAAUCGUAUCUAGAGUGUAAAGGCAUAAGGAAGCUUGACUGUGAGACCUACAAGUCGAGCAGGGACGAAAGUCGGUCUUAGUGAUCUGACGGUGCUGAGUGGAAAGGCCGUCACUCAACGGAUAAAAGUUACUCUAGGAUAACAGGCUGAUCUCCCCCAAGAGUUCACAUCGACGGGGAGGUUUGGCACCUCGAUGUCGGCUCAUCGCAUCCUGGGGCGGUAGUCCGUCCCAAGGGUUGGGCUGUUCGCCCAUGAAAGCGGUACGCGAGCUGGGUUCAGAACGUCGUGAGACAGUUCGGUCCAUAUCCGGUGUAGGCGUUAGAAUAUUGAGAGGAGCCUUCUCUAGUACGAGAGGACCGAGAAGGACAUACCUCUGGUGUACCAGUUAUCGUGCCAACGGUAAACGCUGGGUAGCUAUGUAUGGAGUGGAUAACCGCUGAAAGCAUCUAAGUGGGAAGCCCACCUCAAGAUAAGUAUUCUCAC
rnacentral:rRNA from 1 species